CUCCACGCACGCACCCGACCUCCCACCUCGCAUGAGCGCGAGCGACGGCCUCCAGCCAGCCGCAAUGGCGGAACCGCCGGCGGCGCCACCGCAGCCCCUGCCGCCGCUCCCCCAACCCCCACCAAUGCCACAGAUUCCCGUCGCCGCUGCGCCUCAAAGCUUCUCGCCCACCUCAUCUUCGGCGUUCUCCAGGAGACGCCUCAUGGCGGAACCGCCGCCGGCGCUUCCCCUGCCCCUGUCGCACGGUCCUGUCUCCGCCGCGCUUCUAGCCCUCUCGUCCACCGCAUCUUCGACGCCCCCCACACAUGGGCUAGCAACGCCAACCACUCGCAGCGCCCAAGUCGCCCAGAACCCUAGGAUUGGGGAUUCCGGCGAGGUGGAGAGCAGGGUUGUGGCGCCGACGGCCGAAGCCCUCCCCAAAAUCAACUCUACUGUGGGCGCACUUGUUGGAGCCCCUCUGCCCCAGAUUUCCAUGGCCUGUGAGGUGCUAUUUGUGCUAGGAUGAUCCAGUCUUGUACUUACACAGUAGAGGUGAAGGUUUGUUGCAGUGGAACCAAAAUCAAUGGGGAUUCUACAUUCAUUUGACAGAUUAUUGAAGGUACCAGGACAAGUAUGAAGGAUUUGCUGGCUUCUAUUGCUGGAACCUUUUCUUUUGCUUUAUGCUCAGA
rnacentral:rRNA from 1 species